CGCGGGGUGGAGCAGCUUGGUAGCUCGUCGGGCUCAGUAACCCGAAGGUCGUCGGUUCAAACUCCGGCCCCCGCAACCA
rnacentral:tRNA from 1 species